rnacentral:rRNA from 1 species
GACGAACGCUGGCGGCGUGCUUAACACAUGCAAGUCGAACGGAAAGGCCCCUUUGGGGGUACUCGCGUGGCGAACGGGUGAGUAACACGUGCGUAACCUGCCCUUGACUUCGGGAUAACUUCAGGAAACUGGGGCUAAUACCGGCUAGGAAUCCUUGCUGCCUGGUGGGGGUUGGAAAGCUUGGGGGGGUUUGGAUGGACUCGCGGCUUGUCAGCUUGCUGGUGGGGUAGUGGCUUACCAAGGAUUUGACGGGUAGCCGGCCUGGGAGGGCGACCGGCCACAUUGGGACUGAGAUACGGCCCAGACUCCUACGGGGGGGAGCAGUGGGGAAUAUUGCACAAUGGGCGGGAGCCUGAUGCAGCAACGCCGCGUGCGGGAUGACGGCCUUCGGGUUGUAAACCGGUUUCAGCAGGGGCGAAGCUUGUGGUGACGGUACCUGCAGAAGAAGCACCGGCUAACUACGUG